GAUGAAGAACGUAGCGAAAUGCGAUAAGUAAUGUGAAUUGCAGAAUUCAGUGAAUCAUCGAAUCUUUGAACGCACAUUGCGCCCCCUAGUAUUCCGGGGGGCAUGCCUGUUCGAGCGUCAUUACAACCCUCAAGCUCUGCUUGGUGUUGGGCCCCGCCGCCCCGGCGGGCCCUAAAAUCAGUGGCGGUGCCGUCCGGCUCCGAGCGUAGUAAUUCUUCUCGCUCUGGAGGUCCGGGUGUGUGCUCGCCAGCAACCCCCAAUUUUUUUCAGGUUGACCUCGGAUCAGGUAGGGAUACCCGCUGAACUUAAGCAUAUCAAUAAGCGGAGGA
rnacentral:misc_RNA from 1 species